UACGAGAUAAAAUCAUUUUCGAGAUUACUUAAAUAAUUACCAAUUAAGCUGAGCCGAUUAUGAGCGAGCCACGCUAAAUAAUACAUUCCAUUUUUUCGAUAAUUUAUCAAACGGAGAUUAAAAUCGCUGAAGCAAAAUGGCGGCGUCCACAAAAUGGCCGCUGAAUAAUUAGCGAGUAAACAUUGGUUGAGAUAUCGUUUAAGUGGAUUUAAUUUCGUAAAAAUCGAGACGUAUGUAAUUAAAAAAAAAAAUUGUGGCAAUGACGUAAAGAAAAAAAAAACAAGAAUUAGAUCAUUUUUUUUUUAGGUUAUUUUAAUUCAAAAAUAUAUAGUUACCAUUAAAGCAAUAUCUUUUUGUUUUCUCACAUUCAGAUAAAAACCAAAUGUAAAAGAAAAAGUCUGCCCGAGACAAAUUUCUUUAGCGUUUCACGGCGCACGCUAAUGUUAUGAGCUAUGUAUUAUCAAUAAAAAAUCUAUCACACUUUAUCUCACUGUAAUAAAGGCGAUUUUCGAAUGAGAGAUGCGUAAAGAAUCCUUUCCGCACGCAAAAAAUAAACUUGCUUAGUAUUUUUUUUUUUUCAAAUUUAAUUGCGCGGAAUUGUACCAUACAUGUCUCGAUCUUCGCCCGCAAAAUUACGUUCUCGUUCAGAACAUUCUAAAAUAAACCUUACUCUCAUGUAUUAAGGUGCAUCAGUUUUAAUUUUAGAUAUAUUACAAAUUUGUUCUGUCAAAUUGUUAUUUAUUUUAUACUAACUUGAUAAUUGGUCCUCAGUAGAAGCGAUUCUUAGUUAUAAUAGCGAUUUUAUUUUGAAUCUUAUUUGUAUUGUAAUAAAGGUGAUUAUGUUAUCGAUUUUAUAAUUAUUUCAGCUUGUUUUGAAGGUUUAUGAGGUGAGAGGAAAUUUAAAUAAGGGCUGAUAUCUGUACAGAUCUUGACGAAGGCUUCGAUAGCAGAAUACAAAUGUCACUGUGUUUGACAAUCAGUGACACACACACAUUGAAGAUGCUCCACGUAUUGAUGUAUUAUAUAUAUGUGUCUGUGUGCGUGUGUGAGUUAUGGUAGUGUGUGCAAUAUAUUUGUAAUACAUUUUAUAUGAAAUCA